rnacentral:rRNA from 1 species
AUGGCUUGUUGCCUUAUGUGUAGAAAGGACAUCGAACAGACUAUUGAAGGUGAAGAAGCUCCAGGAGGAAAUAAGGUGAAAGCUUUUUCUUACAGUGAGCUGAGAAAAGCUACACAUGAUUUUAGUGGAGCAAACAAGGUUGGCGAAGGCGGUUUUGGUUCUGUGUUCAGGGGAAGGCUUAAAGACGGCACAAUUAUUGCGGUAAAGGUGCUCUCCGCCCAUUCAAAGCAAGGCAUCCGAGAGUUCUUUACUGAACUUACAGCAAUCUCUGAUAUUGUGCAUGAAAACCUGAUCACCUUAGUCGGUUGCUGCGCUGAGGGACCCCAUAGGAUCCUUGUAUACAACUAUCUUGAAAACAAUAGCCUUGCACAUACACUGCUAGGUAAGGGUUAUAGCAGCAUUCGAUUCAACUGGAGAGUCCGUGUUAAAAUUGCUGUAGGUGUUGCCCAUGGGCUUGCAUUUCUUCACGAAGAAAUCCAUCCUCCCAUAAUCCACCGGGACAUAAAGGCAAGCAAUAUUCUGCUUGACAAGGACCUCACACCCAAAAUUUCUGAUUUUGGGUUGGCAAGGCUCCUCCCUCCAAAUGCAACUCAUGUGAGCACCCGCGUUGCAGGUACAAUAGGAUACCUGGCUCCUGAAUAUGCAGUUAGAGGGCAAGUGACAAAGAAGUCAGAUAUUUAUAGUUUUGGUGUUCUGCUAUUGGAAAUUGUUAGUGGCAGGUGUAACCACAAUAAUAGAUUGCCUUAUGAAGACCAAUUUCUGCUCGAGAGGACAUGGACAUGUUAUGAACAAGGACAGCUCAAGAACAUGAUAGAUGCAGAUCUAGAAGAUGACCUAGACACCGACGAGGCAUGCCGGUUCUUGAAAGUCGGCCUUCUGUGCACUCAAGACGCGAUGAAACUCCGUCCCAACAUGACCAACGUCGUCCGGAUGCUGACCGGAGAAAAAGAUGUCUCCAUGGAGAGGAUCACCAAGCCUGCUGUGAUCGGUGACGUGGGAAACAUCAAGGUCAACAACCAGCAGAGACCAGGCGACUCGCAAUCUGAACCAUCCACAAUCAUAUCAUCAGAAGCAACAGUAGAGUCAUCGCCGUGA